rnacentral:rRNA from 1 species
CCUACGGGUGGCAGCAGUGGGGAAUAUUGGACAAUGGGCGAAAGCCUGAUCCAGCCAUGCCGCGUGUGUGAAGAAGGCCUUCGGGUUGUAAAGCACUUUCAGUGGGGAAGAAAGCCUUGGGGCUAAUACCCUCGAGGAAGGACAUCACCCACAGAAGAAGCACCGGCUAACUCCGUGCCAGCAGCCGCGGUAAUACGGAGGGUGCGAGCGUUAAUCGGAAUUACUGGGCGUAAAGCGCGCGUAGGCGGUCUGAUAAGCCGGUUGUGAAAGCCCCGGGCUCAACCUGGGAACGGCAUCCGGAACUGUCAGGCUAGAGUGCAGGAGAGGAAGGUAGAAUUCCCGGUGUAGCGGUGAAAUGCGUAGAGAUCGGGAGGAAUACCAGUGGCGAAGGCGGCCUUCUGGACUGACACUGACGCUGAGGUGCGAAAGCGUGGGUAGCAAACAGGAUUAGAUACCCCUUGUAGUC